UUUUCUCAUCCCCCUAUUAUAUUUGUUUGUAAACAUCACUUUGGGUGCUAAUACCUUCCCUCUGUGUAACCAACCCCCUUACCUGUAAUCUCUGACAUUUUAUUAGUUUUGAUUUGAAAACUUCUUACUUUUGGGUUUUGUUCGUACUUUUUCUUUUUUCCCUUGGAAACAAUAAAAGCGCGGUGGCGACUCUUGUUAUUUGAUGUCUAGCUUAUCCAUAGCUUGAU
rnacentral:lncRNA from 1 species